AAGGCGUGUCUGUGCAGAACUGCGCAGCAGCGGCGGCUUUGGAAUUCAGUGCGCGCGCGCAUUCGAAUCUGCCUCCAUGUCGGAUUCCGCGCAGCGCUGCAAGAGCCGACAUGGAGAACUGUGGCAUCCAGCUUCAUAACCUCGUCGAGCCGCCCUCGCAUCGGGAUAGGGAGACCAAAACCAAUAAUACGAGGUGGUUCCGACCAGACACGCCUUCUGCUAGGGACGCUUUCAUUUCAGUACAGGAAACAGAAAGGUGUGCUGUGAUUACCUGGAGAGAGAGUGGAGCGUGUCAUUCGUAUCUACAGACAAGUUGAGCUUUUCAAUGAGAUUGUUUUUUUUUUUCAUUAAAUAUUUAAACGCGUUUAAAUUGUGGUAGAGCUUUGCGGGAUUCUGAAAGAAGGAAGUUACUCCUUGCAAACACUGUUGUUUGUGUCGUUUCUUUAUCACACUAGAGAAGUGAUGAAUAUGUUUGAAUGAGAAGGCUACGGUAAAAACAAAUAUAUCUUACUAAAUACAAACCGAAGGCGGUGUUUCUGAAUGCAAAGUGGAUUCUGCUAGACCAGUCUCAAACUAAACCAGUGAAGAUGGACGCGUCAGUGUCUCUGUGUCGUUGUUUCAAGACGAGCUCACAGUGAACGCGGCUGCAGACAGCGGCACAGGGGAGAAGUUUGCUCUGAGCUUCGACUGGCAGGCAGGGCUGCCUAUUAGGCAGGUAAUAAAACACCUCUCCGCGAAUACCCGCCUCCUCAUUUACAUCACAAAGGAAACACGCCUUCUAAGGGCAAAAGCUGCCUGUUUCCACGCCCUCGCAUUCAAACUGAAAACUGCGCGCCAAGGUUUUGCAGCAGAACAGAUUUGGAAUGAAAAAGAGAAAUGCCUCCCAGAAAGCGUAGGAAGUGUACUUCGGUCACUGUGAAAAAUCAUGCUGAAAAAGCUCAUGCUACAUCAGCAACCCCUGCUGCUUGUUGAGAAAGCGACACUGCUUCCCCACUGCCACAGGCAUGCCCUCCUUCCUCCAGCACAGUCGCUGUGUCACUUCAGCAUCCACCUGUAUCACUGGCUGUGCCUCGCCCAGCUGUAAUGCCCGACAGCAUGGAUACACCACAAGUAUUUGCUGAAGUCGAGAGCCUUCUGCCUCUUUCUUUCAACAAGAGAAAGAAAAGGAGAAGCCUGCGGUUUAGGUGUGGGCAUCGGCAAGAUGGCAGUGAGGAUGAUUCCUUUUGACAGGAUCGCAUUUUUGGAGGGCUCGAUCACAACCAAAGAUGUUGCCAUUGGAAAGCUUCAUGAAUUUAAGGAAACCAUCAAGAAUACAACAGACCAAAUUAAAGAAAGUGCUACGGACUUUGACAUGGCUACUCAUGGACUGGGCUUUCAAAUGCUUGAUGUUUACAGUUCUGUACUUCAAAAAUGUGCUGAUUCCCAGACAGAAAAACUGCAGAAUGUGUAGUUUUAGAUGACACUGAAAAUAAAGCAUCCUUUGCAUGUAUGUUCAUUAUUUUAAAAAAGGGCUUGUUCAAAACAUUUAGAACAAUUCUAAGCAAAGAAAACCUAAAAUAGCAUUUUCUGUAAGGCAUUUUCUUUUCUUUUCUAUACAACCUCUUAAAUAUAUAUUUAAAAAUGUACCAUAAAAAUACAUAAAUAAAGGUAUUG